UGGGGAAUUUUGGACAAUGGGGGCAACCCUGAUCCAGCCAUGCCGCGUGUGUGAAGAAGGCCUUCGGGUUGUAAAGCACUUUUGUCAGGAACGAAACGCGCUGAGCUAAUACCUCGGCGUAAUGACGGUACCUGAAGAAUAAGCACCGGCUAACUACGUGCCAGCAGCCGCGGUAAUACGUAGGGUGCAAGCGUUAAUCGGAAUUACUGGGCGUAAAGCGUGCGCAGGCGGUUUUGUAAGACCGAUGUGAAAUCCCCGGGCUUAACCUGGGAACUGCAUUGGUGACUGCAAGGCUAGAGUGUGUCAGAGGGGGUGGAAUUCCACGUGUAGCAGUGAAAUGCGUAGAGAUGUGGAGGAACACCGAUGGCGAAGGCAGCCCCCUGGGAUAACACUGACGCUCAUGCACGAAAGCGUGGGGAGCAAACAGGAUUAGAUACCCUGGUAGUCCACGCCCUAAACGAUGUGUACUAGUUGUCGGGCCUUUGCGGGCUUGGUAACGCAGCUAACGCGUGAA
rnacentral:rRNA from 1 species